CAUUUUGGCAAAACCCAAUUUUCGUGCAUCCUAUUUCCUUUCCAUAGUGAUACCUUUUAAGCUAAAUUUUGGAAGCUUUGUGUUGGGAUUUUGAUGGGGCUUUGUGAAGGAAAAAUGUUCCUUAGAUAGUGAGGGUUCUUUUGAUAUCAAACUUGAGUCCAUUUCUUUUGUUGCUGGGUUUGGAAAGUGGUGUUAAAAGAAGAGGGUUUUGGUUGCAAACAAAGAAGGAAAGUGUUCUUCACCUUCUAGUUGCUGAUUUUGAUCCAUUUUUGGUGUGGUUUUGAAUUCUUGAGCAAGUGUUCAAGCUUCCCUUGAGGUUAUAGCAUGGAUGGUGUGGAGGGUGUUCCUCCUCAGAUAUAGACAGAGUCGGGACUGGUGUUGUUGUGUUAUAUUCCGCAUAAUAGACUAUGUUUUGUAUUAUAUUUCCUAGAAUUUUCCUGGCAUGUAAUAAAUUUUCUUUCAAACUUUAAAACUUUAAAGUUUUAAUAUUUGCAUCU